UUUAUGGAGAGUUUGAUCCUGGCUCAGGAUGAACGCUGGCGUCGUGCCUAAUACAUGCAAGUCGAGCGAACGGACGAGAAGCUUGCUUCUCUGAUGUUAGCGGCGGACGGGUGAGUAACACGUGGAUAACCUACCUAUAAGACUGGGAUAACUUCGGGAAACCGGAGCUAAUACCGGAUAAUAUUUUGAACCGCAUG
rnacentral:rRNA from 1 species